GAUGAAGAACGCAGCGAAAUGCGAUACGUAAUGUGAAUUGCAAAUUCAGUGAAUCAUCGAGUCUUUGAACGCACAUUGCGCCCCCUGGUAUUCCGGGGGGCAUGCCUGUCCGAGCGUCAUUGCUGCCCUCAAGCACGGCUUGUGUGUUGGGCCCCGUCCUCCGAUCCCGGGGGACGGGCCCGAAAGGCAGCGGCGGCACCGCGUCCGGUCCUCGAGCGUAUGGGGCCUUGUCACCCGCUCUGUAGGCCCGGCCGGCGCUUGCCGAUCAACCCAAAUUUUUAUCCAGGUUGACCUCGGAUCAGGUAGGGAUACCCGCUGAACUUAAGCAUAUCAAUAAGCGGAGGA
rnacentral:misc_RNA from 1 species